AAGUCGUAACAAGGUAACCGUAGGUGAACCUGCGGUUGGAUCAUUAAUAAAUUUUAGAGCAGAGUGAUUGAGAAAUCUUGAUCUCUGUUUCUUAACAAUUUGUGAAUCGUUUAUUGUCUCUUGUGGAUGAGUAGGCUCCAAAAGGGUCUUUCUCCACACUUAAAUCUUAACACUGUAAUAAAUAUUUGUCUUAAACUUUAAACUUAAAAAAUUUAAAAACAACUUUUGACAACGGAUCUCUAGGCUCUC
rnacentral:misc_RNA from 1 species